ACCAUUUUGGCGGAGACAAACGCGCAAAAUUUAGAAUUUUGAUACGGUUAUCCAAAUGGUA
rnacentral:tRNA from 1 species